UUGUAAGUGUCUAAGGGCGCAUGGUGGAUGCCUUGGCAUCGAGAGCCGAUGAAGGACGUGGGAGGCUGCGAUAUGCCUCGGGGAGCUGUCAACCGAGCGUGGAUCCGAGGAUUUCCGAAUGGGGAAACCCAGCACGAGUGAUGUCGUGCUACCCGCAUCUGAAUAUAUAGGGUGCGGGAGGGAACGCGGGGAAGUGAAACAUCUCAGUACCCGUAGGAGGAGAAAACAAUUGUGAUUCCGCAAGUAGUGGCGAGCGAACGCGGAACAGGCUAAACCGCACGCAUGGGUAACCGGGUAGGGGUUGUGUGUGCGGGGUUGUGGGAGGAUAUGUCUCAGCGCUACCCGGCUGAGAGGCAGUCAGAAAGUGUCGUGGUUAGCGGAAGUGGCCUGGGAUGGUCUGCCGUAGACGGUGAGAGCCCGGUACGCGAAAACCCGGCACCUGCCUAGUAUCAAUUCCCGAGUAGCAGCGGGCCCGUGGAAUCCGCUGUGAAUCCGCCGGGACCACCCGGUAAGCCUAAAUACUCCUCGAUGACCGAUAGCGGAUUAGUACCGUGAGGGAAUGGUGAAAAGUACCCCGGGAGGGGAGUGAAAGAGUACCUGAAACCGUGUGCCUACAAUCCGUCAGAGCCUCCUUUUCCUCUCCGGAGGAGGGUGGUGAUGGCGUGCCUUUUGAAGAAUGAGCCUGCGAGUCAGGGACAUGUCGCAAGGUUAACCCGUGUGGGGUAGCCGCAGCGAAAGCGAGUCUGAAUAGGGCGACCCACACGCGCAUACGCGCGUGUGAAUAGUGGCGUGUUCUGGACCCGAAGCGGAGUGAUCUACCCAUGGCCAGGGUGAAGCGCGGGUAAGACCGCGUGGAGGCCCGAACCCACUUAGGUUGAAGACUGAGGGGAUGAGCUGUGGGUAGGGGUGAAAGGCCAAUCAAACUCCGUGAUAGCUGGUUCUCCCCGAAAUGCAUUUAGGUGCAGCGUUGCGUGGUUCACCGCGGAGGUAGAGCUACUGGAUGGCCGAUGGGCCCUACUAGGUUACUGACGUCAGCCAAACUCCGAAUGCCGUGGUGUAAAGCGUGGCAGUGAGACGGCGGGGGAUAAGCUCCGUACGUCGAAAGGGAAACAGCCCAGAUCGCCGGCUAAGGCCCCCAAGCGUGUGCUAAGUGGGAAAGGAUGUGCAGU
rnacentral:rRNA from 1 species